AGCCCUGUGGUGUAGCGGUCAAGCAUAGCGGGCUUUGAACCCGUUGACAGCAGAAGUUGCAAUCGGAAGGUUGGAACUGCUGGAUUCGAAUCUGCUCAGGGCUA
rnacentral:tRNA from 1 species